rnacentral:misc_RNA from 1 species
GUAGAUGAUACACUUAGACCUCGAAGAGCUGGGGGCCUUGACACCGAACUUUACGCUUGAAUUGCAGAAACAUCUGGGGUAUACCCUCCUCCAGGACAACCGUACCCACCUGGACCCCUUGGGGGCGAGGCAGCAUACCCCCCUGGACAACCGGGUGGAGCACCUCCUUACCCCACUGGACAACCAGGCGGGGUGCCACCCUACCCUCCACAGUAAUCCACGCGUCAAUGUGACCGUUGUGGACGGCUUUUGGGAAUUUUUUUGCAGCUUUUAAUACGAGAAAAGUGAAGGAGAAAGAUCACGAUCGCCAUCUCUUGCUUAAUUUUGCUAUUUUGCCACUUGAUUCGUGUUAAAAGUCGGAAAAUAAAUAAACAAAUUAAGAAGUGUGAAUAAAAAAAAAUAAAAAAGAAAAGAUCUGGUUUAUAAAAUAGACGGUAACAAUAACGAAUAUAUUAUUGAUAAUGAAUAUGAUAAUAGUAAUUUUGUGAUAAAUUAAACUCCUUGUGUUGGAUAUAGAGCGAGUAGAAAUUAGAUAGGCAACAGUCAGUAACCAUUAGGGUACUAUGAUUGUGUCCUUAAUCUGAACUGGUUAGCUCACAUGACCACCACAAACCGCAUAAUAUCAAGUCAAGGUCUUAUAAUUAUUCGAUCUAAAAGAAAUACAUUUUCAGAACGAAUGCAAAUCAAGUCUUCAUCUCGUAAUUGAAUUAAAAAAACUUCAAUUUAAACUUUCUUCUGUGGCGGGUCGUUACAACAGUCUCACUAUACUGAUUAGCAGAUUCUCCAGGUAAGCGAAUUUAGAGACAGAAAAACAAAAACAAAAUAACUUCUUUCUCACUUCGAUUCUGCUGAAAAAUGUGGAAUCUAUUUAUUAGUUUCAUAGUCUAAUUCUAACAGGAUACGAUGGUUUCUUUCACUGUGGUUUCUUUUUCUCGAAAGUGAACUGCAGAUUUGCAAACUAAUGGGGCCGAAAAUUCUCCAGAUAACGUCAUUGUGAGAAAACACUGUAACAGAUAUAUAUUAAAAAAUCCGGACAGUUA